rnacentral:tRNA from 1 species
GGGAGCGUCGGUUAAAGGUAAACCACCGGUCUCCAAAACCGGAACUGGGGGUUCAAUUCCUCCCGCUCCCG